rnacentral:rRNA from 1 species
GACGAACGCUGGCGGCGUGCUUAACACAUGCAAGUCGAACGGAAAGGCCCUGCUUUUGUGGGGUGCUCGCGUGGCGAACGGGUGGGUAACACGUGAGUAACCUGCCCUUGACUUUGGGAUAACUUCAGGAAACUGGGGCUAAUACCGGAUAGGAGCUCCUGCUCCAUGGAGGGGGUUGGAAAGUUUCGGCGGUUGCGGUUGGACUCGCGGCUGAUCAGUUUGUUGGUGGGGGAGUGGCUUGCCAAGGCUUUGCAGGGUAGCCGGCCUGAGAGGGUGACCGGCCACCUGGCGACUGCGGUACGGCGCAGACUCCUACGGGAGGCAGAAGUGGGGAAUAUUACACAGUGGGCGGGCGCGUGAUGCAGCAACGCCGCGUGCGGGAUGACGGCCUUCGGGUUGUAAACCGCUUUCGCCUGUGACGAAGCGUGAGUGACGGUAAUGGGUAAAGAAGCACCGGCUAACUACGUG